rnacentral:rRNA from 1 species
AUUGAACGCUGGCGGCAGGCUUAACGCAUGCAAGUCGAGCGGAGAUGAGGUGCUUGCACCUUAUCUUAGCGGCGGACGGGUGAGUAAUGCUUAGGAAUCUGCCUAUUAGUGGGGGACAACAUUCCGAAAGGAAUGCUAAUACCGCAUACGCCCUACGGGGGAAAGCAGGGGAUCUUCGGACCUUGCGCUAAUAGAUGAGCCUAAGUCGGAUUAGCUAGUUGGUGGGGUAAAGGCCUACCAAGGCGACGAUCGGUAGCGGGUCUGAGAGGAUGAUCCGCCACACUGGGAAUGAGACACGGCCCAGACUCCUACGGGAGGCAGCAGUGGGGAAUAUUGGACAAUGGGCGGAAGCCUGAUCCAGCCAUGCCGCGUGUGUGAAGAAGGCCUUUUGGUUGUAAAGCACUUUAAGCGAGGAGGAGGCUACCUGGAUUAAUACUCUAGGAUAGUGGACGUUACUCGCAGAAUAAGCACCGGCUAACUCUGUGCCAGCAGCCGCGGUAA